GGGGAAUAUUGGGCAAUGGGCGCAAGCCUGACCCAGCAACGCCGCGUGAAGGAAGAAGGCUUUCGGGUUGUAAACUUCUUUUGUCAGGGACGAGUAGAAGACGGUACCUGACGAAUAAGCCACGGCUAACUACGUGCCAGCAGCCGCGGUAAUACGUAGGUGGCAAGCGUUGUCCGGAUUUACUGGGUGUAAAGGGCGUGUAGCCGGGAGGGCAAGUCAGAUGUGAAAUCCACGGGCCCAACUCGUGAACUGCAUUUGAAACUACUCUUCUUGAGUAUCGGAGAGGCAAUCGGAAUUCCUAGUGUAGCGGUGAAAUGCGUAGAUAUUAGGAGGAACACCAGUGGCGAAGGCGGAUUGCUGGACGACAACUGACGGUGAGGCGCGAAAGCGUGGGGAGCAAAC
rnacentral:rRNA from 1 species